GUUGCUGAUCUACGAUUACUAGCAACUCCAACUUCAUGAGGUCGAGUUGCAGACCUCAAUCCGAACUGAGACCGGCUUUUUGGGAUUCGCUCCACCUUACGGUAUUGCAGCCCUCUGUACCGGCCAUUGUAGCAUGCGUGCAGCCCAAGACAUAAGGGGCAUGAUGAUUUGACGUCAUCCCCACCUUCCUCCGAGUUAACCCCGGCAGUCUCCUGUGAGUCCCCAACUAAAUGCUGGCAACACAGAACGAGGGUUGCGCUCGUUGCGGGACUUAACCCAACAUCUCACGACACGAGCUGACGACAACCAUGCACCACCUGUAUAGAGCCCUUGCGGACAUGACAUCUCUGCCACUUUUCCCUAUAUGUCAAGCCUU
rnacentral:rRNA from 1 species